rnacentral:rRNA from 1 species
CCUACGGGGGGCAGCAGUGAGGAAUAUUGGUCAAUGGACGAGAGUCUGAACCAGCCAAGUAGCGUGAAGGAUGACUGCCCUAUGGGUUGUAAACUUCUUUUAUCAAGGAAUAAAACGAGGCACGUGUGCCUUUUUGCAUGUACUUUAUGACUAAGGAUCGGCUAACUCCGUGCCAGCCGCCGCGGUAAUACGGAGGAUCCGAGCGUUAUCCGGAUUUAUUGGGUUUAAAGGGAUCGUAAAUGGGUUUUUAAGUCAGUUGUGAAAGUUUGCGGCUCAACCGUAAAAUUGCAAUUGAUACUGGCAGUCUUGAGUACAGUAGAGGUAGGCGGAAUUCGUGGUGUAGCGGUGAAAUGCUUAGAUAUCACGAAGAACCCCGAUUGCGAAGGCAGCUUACCAAACUGUGACUGACAUUGAUGCUCGAAAGUGUGGGUAUCAAACAGGAUUAGAUACCCUGGUAGUC